rnacentral:misc_RNA from 1 species
CCUAAACUCGUUAGGGAGCUGUCGAAGGUGGGAUUGGCGAUUGGGACGAAGUCGUAACAAGGUAGCCGUACCGGAAGGUGCGGCUGGAUCACCUCCUUUCUAAGGAGAUUAUUUUUUCUUUGUGUCAUGUGUCAUCGUGUUGGUGGCGUGUGGCUUUUUUGUUUUUUGGGUGGAACACCUGCUGGUCAGGCUGCUGAAGUGAUGGUGGUCUGCGCGUGUGUAAGUGAUGAUUAAACGUUUAAGGUGCUUUCCUUUUUUGUGUUGGUUGGUUGUUGGUGCGCUGUUGGGUGUCUGGGAUGACACACGUGUUGUUGUUCCUGUUGUACAGGUUGCUGCGUGCUGCAGGCGGGCUGCUGUGUGGUGGUUUGUUCUGUGGUGUGUGGGUGUUGUGUGAGAACUGGAUAGUGGACGCGAGCAUCUUGUUUUUCUGUAAGUUCGAUUUUGUCAAGCAGUUUUUCUGUUUGUGAUUGUUCUUGAGUAUUUGUGUGUUGUGUUGUAAGGGCGCAUGGUGGAUGCCUUGGCAUAGUAGGCCGAUGAAGGACGUGAGAGGCUGCGAUAGGCCUCGGGGAGCUGCCAACUAAGCGUUGAUCCGAGGGUGUCCGAAUGGGGAAACCUGGCCGUCGUUGUGGGCGGUCGCCGUUAGAUGAAUUCAUAGUCUAAUUGGUGGUUACGCGGGGAAGUGAAACAUCUCAGUACCCGUAGGAGUAGAAAACAAUUGUGAUUCCGUUAGUAGUGGCGAACGAACGUGGAUGAGGCUAAACC